rnacentral:rRNA from 1 species
GACGAACGCUGGCGGCGUGCUUAACACAUGCAAGUCGAACGGGAUAAUUUGAGAGCUUGCUCUUAGAGAAUCUAGUGGCACACGGGUGAGUAACACGUAGACAACCUGCCGACAGGAUGGGGACAACAUUCCGAAAGGAAUGCUAAUACCGAAUGAAGCGGAGGAGAGGCAUCUCUCCUCCGUGAAAGAUGGCCUCUGAAUAUGCUAUCACCUGUCGAUGGGUCUGCGUCUGAUUAGCUAGUUGGUGAGGUAACGGCUCACCAAGGCGACGAUCAGUAGCCGGUCUGAGAGGAUGAACGGCCACAUUGGGACUGAGACACGGCCCAGACUCCUACGGGAGGCAGCAGUGGGGAAUCUUCCGCAAUGGGCGCAAGCCUGACGGAGCAACGCCGCGUGAGUGAAGAAGGUCGUCGGAUCGUAAAGCUCUGUUGACGGGGACGAACGUGCGAAGGGUGAAUAAGCCUUUGUAAUGACGGUACCUGUCGAGGAAGCCACGGCUAACUACGUG